UACGGAGGGGGCUAGCGUUGUUCGGAAUUACUGGGCGUAAAGCGCGCGUAGGCGGACCUGCAAGUCGGGGGUGAAAGCCCGAGGCUCAACCCUCGGAACUGCCUUCGAUACUGCGGGUCUCGAGUCCGGGAGAGGUGAGUGGAAUUCCGUAGUGUAGAGGUGAAAUUCGUAGAUAUUAGGAAGAACACCAGUGGCGAAGGCGGCAUCCUGGACCGGCAUUGACGCUGAGGCGCGAAAGCCAGGGGAGCAAAGCGG
rnacentral:rRNA from 1 species